rnacentral:rRNA from 1 species
GAUGAACGCUGGCGGCGUGCCUAAUACAUGCAAGUCGAGCGAAUGGAUUGAGAGCUUGCUCUUAUGAAGUUAGCGGCGGACGGGUGAGUAACACGUGGGUAACCUGCCCAUAAGACUGGUAUAACUCCGGGAAACCGGGGCUAAUACCGGAUAACAUUUUGAACCGCAUGGUUCGAAAUUGAAAGGCGGCUUCGGCUGUCACUUAUGGAUGGACCCGCGUCGCAUUAGCUAGUUGGUGAGGUAACGGCUCACCAAGGCAACGAUGCGUAGCCGACCUGAGAGGGUGAUCGGCCACACUGGGACUGAGACACGGCCCAGACUCCUACGGGAGGCAGCAGUAGGGAAUCUUCCGCAAUGGACGAAAGUCUGACGGAGCAACGCCGCGUGAGUGGUGAAGGCUUUCGGGUCGUAAAACUCUGUUGUUAGGGAAGAACAAGUGCUAGUUGAAUAAGCUGGCACCUUGACGGUACCUAACCAGAAAGCCACGGCUAACUACGUGCCAGCCGCCGCGGUAA